rnacentral:rRNA from 1 species
UACGUAGGGUGCAAGCGUUAAUCGGAAUUACUGGGCGUAAAGCGUGCGCAGGCGGCUUUGCAAGACAGAUGUGAAAUCCCCGGGCUUAACCUGGGAAUGGCGUCUGAAACUACGGAGCUGGAGUGUGGCAGAGGGAGGUAGAAUUCCACGUGUAGCGGUGAAAUGCGUAGAUAUGUGGAGGAAUACCGAUGGCGAAGGCAGCCUCCUGGGCCAACACUGACGCUCAUGCACGAAAGCGUGGGGAGCAAACAGG